rnacentral:rRNA from 1 species
GACAGAGGGUGCAAGCGUUAAUCGGAGUUAUUGGGCGUAAAGCGCACGCAGGUGGUUAAGUCAGUCAGAUGUGAAAGCCCCGGGCUCAACCUGGGAAGGUCAUCUGAUACUACUUGGCUUGAGUGUGGUAGAGGGAAGUGGAAUUUCCGGUGUAGCAGUGAAAUGCGUAGAUAUCGGAAGGAACACCAGUAGCGAAGGCGACUUCCUGGACCAUAACUGACACUCAUGUGCGAAAGCGUGGGGAGCAAACAGG